UACGUAGGGGGCAAGCGUUGUCCGGAUUUAUUGGGCGUAAAGAGCGUGUAGGCGGCCUGAAAGGUCAGCUGUGAAAACUCGAGGCUCAACCUCGAGACGUCGGUUGAAACCGUUUGGCUAGAGUCCGGAAGAGGAGAGUGGAAUUCCCGGUGUAGCGGUGAAAUGCGCAGAUAUCGGGAAGAACACCCGUGGCGAAGGCGGCUCUCUGGGACGGUACUGACGCUGAGACGCGAAAGCGUGGGGAGCGAACAGG
rnacentral:rRNA from 1 species